UUGUUGGCGGGGUAACGGCCCACCAAGGCGACGAUGCGUAGGGGUUCUGAGAGGAAGGUCCCCCACACUGGUACUGAGACACGGACCAGACUCCUACGGGAGGCAGCAGUGAGGAAUAUUGGUCAAUGGCCGCAGGGCUGAACCAGCCAAGUCGCGUGAGGGAUGACGGUCCUAUGGAUUGUAAACCUCUUUUGUCAGGGAGCAAAGGGCGGCACGUGUGGCGUUUUGCGAGUACCUGAAGAAAAAGCAUCGGCUAACUCCGUGCCAGCAGCCGCGGUAAUACGGAGGAUGCGAGCGUUAUCCGGAUUUAUUGGGUUUAAAGGGUGCGCAGGCGGAAUGUCAAGUCAGCGGUAAAAUUUCGGGGCUCAACCCCGUCGUGCCGUUGAAACUGGCGUUCUUGAGUGAGCGAGAAGUAUGCGGAAUGCGUGGUGUAGCGGUGAAAUGCAUAGAUAUCACGCAGAACUCCGAUUGCGAAGGCAGCAUACCGGCGCUCAACUGACGCUCAUGCACGAAAGCGUGGGUAUCGAACAGGAUUAGAUACCCUGGUAGUCCACGCAGUAAACGAUGAAUACUAACUGUCCGGGCAGAAUGAUGCCUGG
rnacentral:rRNA from 1 species